rnacentral:rRNA from 1 species
UGAACGCUGGCGGCGUGCUUAACACAUGCAAGUCGAUCGGUAACAGGUGUAGCAAUACAUGCUGACGAGAGGCGGACGGGUGAGGAAUAUUUGGGAAUCUGCCCAUCAGCGGGGGACAACCCGGGGAAACUCGGGCUAAUACCGCAUACGCUCUACGGAGGAAAGCCGGGGACCGCAAGGCCUGGCACUGAUGGAUGAGCCCAAAUCGGAUUAGCUAGUUGGCGGGGUAACGGCCCACCAAGGCGACGAUCCGUAGCUGGUCUGAGAGGACGAUCAGCCACACCGGAACUGAGACACGGUCCGGACUCCUACGGGAGGCAGCAGUGGGGAAUAUUGGACAAUGGGGGAAACCCUGAUCCAGCGACGCCGCGUGGGUGAAGAAGGCCUGCGGGUUGUAAAGCCCUUUCGGUAGGAAGAAAUCUCUUGCUCUAACAAAGCAAGGUUUGACUUAACCUACAUAAGAAGCACCGGCUAACUCUGUGCCAGCAGCCGCGGUAAU